UACGUAGGGGGCAAGCGUUGUCCGGAUUUAUUGGGCGUAAAGGGCGCGUAGGCGGCCUGGCAAGUGGAAGGUGAAAUCCCUCGGCUUAGCCGAGGAACUGCCUUCCAAACUGCUUGGCUUGAGUCCGGGAGAGGUGAGUGGAAUUCCCAGUGUAGCGGUGAAAUGCGUAGAUAUUGGGAGGAACACCAGUGGCGAAGGCGGCUCACUGGACCGGAACUGACGCUGAGGCGCGAAAGCGUGGGGAGCAAACAGG
rnacentral:rRNA from 1 species